CAGUAGCCGCGGUAAUACGGAGGAUGCAAGCGUUAUCCGGAAUCAUUGGGCGUAAAGGGUCCUGAGGUGGUUUGCCCAGUCUACUGUGAAAGAUCAGGGCUCAACCCUGAAAAUGCGGUGGAAACUAGCAGGCUAGAAUACGGUAGGGGCAGGGGGAAUUCCCGGUGUAGCGGUGAAAUGCAUAGAUAUCGGGAAGAACACCAAUGGCGAAAGCACCCUGCUGGGCCGAUAUUGACACUGACAGACGAAAGCUAGGGGAGCAAAUGGGAUUAGAUACCCCCGUAGUCCCUGUCUCUUAUAC
rnacentral:rRNA from 1 species